rnacentral:rRNA from 1 species
UACAGAGGUCCCAAGCGUUGUUCGGAUUCACUGGGCGUAAAGGGUGCGUAGGCGGUCGGGUAAGUCUGAUGUGAAAUCUCACAGCUUAACUGUGAAACUGCAUUGGAUACUAUCCGGCUCGAGGAAUGGAGGGGAGACUGGAAUACUUGGUGUAGCAGUGAAAUGCGUAGAUAUCAAGUGGAACACCAGUGGCGAAGGCAGCUCGCUGGGACGUGACUGACGCUGAGACGCGAAAGCGUGGGGAGCAAACAGG